GGAGGAGUCGCAUAGUGGUCUAGUGCGCUGCACUCGAAAUGCAGUGUCCUCGUAAGGGGACCGUGAGUUCGAAUCUCACCUCCUCCG
rnacentral:tRNA from 1 species